UGGGGAAUUUUGGACAAUGGGGGAAACCCUGAUCCAGCCAUCCCGCGUGUGCGAUGAAGGCCUUCGGGUUGUAAAGCACUUUUGGCAGGAAAGAAACGUCAUGGGUUAAUACCCCGUGAAACUGACGGUACCUGCAGAAUAAGCACCGGCUAACUACGUGCCAGCAGCCGCGGUAAUACGUAGGGUGCAAGCGUUAAUCGGAAUUACUGGGCGUAAAGCGUGCGCAGGCGGUUCGGAAAGAAAGAUGUGAAAUCCCAGAGCUCAACUUUGGAACUGCAUUUUUAACUACCGGGCUAGAGUGUGCCAGAGGGAGGUGGAAUUCCGCGUGUAGCAGUGAAAUGCGUAGAUAUGCGGAGGAACACCGAUGGCGAAGGCAGCCUCCUGGGAUAACACUGACGCUCAUGCACGAAAGCGUGGGGAGCAAACAGG
rnacentral:rRNA from 1 species